GCUGUGAGUUACUAUUUUGUGAUGCAUACUUUCUAAUUCUGAACUACUGAUAUUUCUCAGCAUCCAACCAUCAGUUUGGGCUGAGCUUUUGAAGAGCAGUACAGUCCUAGGAGGCCUACACUCGAUGGGAACUGAUAUCUUCCCAUC